rnacentral:misc_RNA from 1 species
CACUUGUGGAACUCCUUUGUGAGGAAGCAACGUGUCCUGGCAGAUGGUCAUAUUCCUUGGGCAUGCGAGGCUUUCUCAAGAUUACAUGGGCAUGAUCUUGCCCGAGCCCCAGCCCUACUUUGGUGUUGGAGAUUAUUUAUGAUCAAACUAUGGAAUCAUGGUCUCCUAGAUGGCCGCACUAUGAAUAAGUGUAAUAUUACUCUGGAGCAAUACCAAAAGCAGGUCCCAGAUCCUAUGAAAAGCUAAGAGAGAUGAUACAUUUUUGUUGGCAAUCAUUGAAUACAAAAGCAAAG